UACGAAGGGGGCUAGCGUUGUUCGGAUUUACUGGGCGUAAAGCGCACGUAGGCGGAUCGUUAAGUCGGGGGUGAAAUCCUGGAGCUCAACUCCAGAACUGCCUUCGAUACUGGCGAUCUUGAGUCCGGAAGAGGUGAGUGGAACUCCUAGUGUAGAGGUGGAAUUCGUAGAUAUUAGGAAGAACACCAGUGGCGAAGGCGGCUCACUGGGGAUUUUCUGACGCUGAGGAACGAAAGCCAGGGGAGCGAACGGG
rnacentral:rRNA from 1 species